GUCUGUAUGUAUUUAAAUAUAAAGUCUGGCCUGCCCACUGAUAUAGUUUUAAAGGGCCGCGGUAUCUUGACCGUGCAAAGGUAGCAUAAUCAAUAGUCUUUUAAUUGGAGGCUUGAAUGAACGGUUGGACAAAAGAAAAGCUGUUUCACUUGCAUAUUUCGAAUUUAAUUUUUAUGUGAAAAAGCAUGAAUGAGUUAGGGGGACGAUAAGACCCUAUAAAACUUUACAUAAGUUAAAUGCUUUCUUGAAUUUUGGUAAUAAGUAGGUAUUUAUAAGUGUUGGGUUGGGGCGACAAAGAUAUAAAUUUUAGUAACUGUUUAAAAGAUUAAAUAAUUAUGAUUAGAUAAUGAUCCUUUAAUAGAGAUUAAGAGAUAAAGUUACUUUAGGGAUAACAGCAUAAUUUUUUCUGAGAGUUCUUAUCGAUGAAAUUAGUUGUGACCUCGAUGUUGAAUUAAGAUUUCCUCUAGGAGUAGAAAUUUAGGGGGAAGGUCUGUUCGACCUUUACAUUCUUACAUGAUUUGAGUUCAAACCGGUGUGAG
rnacentral:rRNA from 1 species